rnacentral:lncRNA from 1 species
GGGAUUUGGAGAGCUGCGACAUGCAAGCGGUAGGAGUCCAUGAAGCACAAUUAUAACACUGAGCUAAUCAGCACUGCAUUCAGUUGUCUAAAUUCUCACCUUUUAAAUGAGAGUAAAACAAAACUCCACACAAGAAAAAUCAAGAAUGAAACAAACACAGGGAAAAGUCGAGGCACUUUCAUUUAUUUCAGUGGGUGACAUGUCAGGGGUGUCCCAUUGAUUAAAGUGAAUACUAUUAUUGUGUUGUACUAUUAUUGCUUCCCAGCUUGUGCCAGUUUAAAGGCAUGGGUAGGUAACCACUGCUCCCACGGCAGGGAGUUUCCAGGGCACACGAACAGAAUUUGGGAGGGAUGUGGAGGAAAGGAUGCAUGGGAGCUGGUGGGGCAGCGGUGGUGCUGGGAGGGGAGGUGCUGGAGGCUGACACCCCCAGCCCUCUGCAUCUCUGCAGGCAAAACAUGUUGCUUUCAGACCUGCUUCAUCACACCAAUGUCUCCGUGCAGGGUAAAAAUGAUGGGCACCUUGCAUUUCUAAAGGUCUUCUCUAAAGGUUUUUCAUUUUCUGUCACAGGUUCCCUCAACCUGCUGCAUGCGUACAUGCUCACAACUGCACAUCGGAUAGCUCAGGUGAAAGUUCUGCAACGCAGCCGUGAGAUGAAUAGCAAUGACGCUGUUUUGGACAGAGCGCUGCAAAACCAGGCUGCGAAAGAUGAGACUGGCAGAGGUUAUCCUGAGAGCUGUGCCAUGAGUUUCCGUCCUCCUGGAUUCCUCCAUUGAUGCUUUCUGUAACUCAUAUGGGAAAGAAAUGGGAGCAGGAGGUGUGUGUGAACAUGGAAAAGGCAGCAGGGCUCAGCCUCCAGCUCUGCUAAACUUCCAGUGACCACCGCUGUGCUCUGAUCUCUGCCUUGGUUUUGCCAGGACACUGCUCCGCUCUUGCUCUUCUUUGCAUCUGAGGACAAUGACAUCUGGAAAGGGAAUUUUCAUGGAAAUAAAAUGCUCACCUGCUUUUCA